rnacentral:rRNA from 1 species
GACGAACGCUGGCGGCGUGCUUAACACAUGCAAGUCGAACGGAAAGGCCUUUUCGGAGGUACUUGAGUGGCGCACGGGUGAGUAACACGUGGGUGAUCUGCCCUGCACUCUGGGAUAAGCCUGGGAAACUGGGUCUAAUACCGGAUAGGACCGCACUUUAGUGUGUGUGGUGGGAAGUUGUUUCGGUGUAGGAUGAGCCCGCGGCCUAUCAGCUUGUUGGUGGGGUAAUGGCCUACCAAGGCGGCGACGGGUAGCCGGACUGAGAGGUUGGUCGGCCACAUUGGGACUGAGAUACGGCCCAGACUCCUACGGGAGGCAGCAGUGGGGAAUAUUGCACAAUGGGCGCAAGCCUGAUGCAGCGACGCCGCGUGGGGGAUGACGGCCUUCGGGUUGUAAACUCCUUUCGCCAGGGACGAAGCGUUUUGUGACGGUACCUGGAGAAGAAGCACCGGCUAACUACGUG